rnacentral:rRNA from 1 species
UACGUAGGGUGCGAGCGUUAUUCGGAUUCACUGGGCGUAAAGGGUGCGCAGGCGGUCGGGUGUGUCAGAUGUGAAAUCCCGAGGCUCAACCUCGGAACUGCGUCUGAAACUACUCGACUAGAGUACUGGAGAGGGUAACGGAAUUCACGGUGUAGCAGUGAAAUGCGUAGAUAUCGUGAGGAACACCAGAGGCGAAGGCGGUUACCUGGACAGUUACUGACGCUCAGGCACGAAAGCAUGGGGAGCAAAAGGG